rfam:Collinsella tanakaei YIT 12063 genomic scaffold supercont1.2, whole genome shotgun sequence.
CCGCUGAAGGCAUCUAAGCGGGAAGCCGUUCCCGAGAUCAGUUCUCCUUCUGGUAAGGGCCCAGGUAGAACACCUGGUCGAUAGGCCGCAGGUGCAAGGUCGGCGACGGCCUCAGCCGAGCGGCACUAAUCGCCCGAGCUCUUACCCGA